rnacentral:lncRNA from 1 species
CAAUGAAUGUAUUGUACAUGAAUGGCUAUCCAUGUCUCAGUCCUGAUCUUAGCAGAAAAGAUUUUAGCUUUUCCUCAUUUAAUAUGUUUGCAACACUUUUAUCAUCAAUAGCUUUUAUUACGUUGAGAUAAGGUUCUUCUUUACCUCUUUUCUUCAAGGUUUUAUCUAUGAAAGGUUGUUGGUUUUGUCAAAGGCAUUUUUUGAAUUAUUGAGCUGAUCAUAUGAUUUUGUCCUCGCUACUGUUACUGUGGUUUAUUACACAAUCCAUCAGGUCAUGAACGUUGCUUAGUUGGUAAGUUUUUUAUUACUGCCUCAAUGUCAUUGUCUAUUACUGGAUUAUCCAGGGUUUUUAUGUCUUCUUGGUUUAGUGUUAGUAAUUCAUGUGUAUAGGUAUCUGUUCACUUCUUUAAGAUUCUCUGACUUGUUGGAGUACUCUUUUUCAGAGGAGUUACUAAUGAUCUUCUGGAUUUUGGUGGUGUCCAUUGUGGUUUUGGAUUUUUCAUUUCUAAUUGUGCUGAUAAGCAUUCUUUCUUCUUUUGAAAAAGAAAAAAAUAUGAGAAAAGAAAUACAGAAAGCUUCAGACAGAACAAUACGAACAUGAGACUACGGAGAAUUUUUUAAAAGCACAUUAUGUGGAAAGAAGGGUAUUUCUUAUGGGGUAUUGUGCAAAUCACCAAGAUGCAGCAGUCUUAAUCUUUAUUCAUAUGAGAAUUGAAUUUUGAAAAAGGAACUUAAGAGAAAAGCAAAGGCUGGAAGCAGCUUCCCUCUGAUAUCUCCGAUUCUGCUUGAAGUCUGGACCUCGAGGAGGAAGCAGUCGCCUCUGGGUUGUUCCCCGAGCUUUCGUUAGCUAAGCCCACGUCUCCAGAAGAGACACUGGGAUCCAUCGCACACCUGCAGACCUUUGUCAACAGCAUUGACCUCUACAUCUGUCCCGUGGAGAAUCAUUUACAAACCAUCGCCCAUCAUGGCUUCCAUACAGAUUUUGUCCCAGGACACUGUGCUCCAAUCUCAUUGGUGUCCCCUUAAAAUGAUAUAUAAUCCCCACCCCCAUUCCCCAUCUCCCCC